GCAUGGCUGUCGUCAGCUCGUGUCGUGAGAUGUCGGUUAAGUCCGCUAACGAGCGCAACCCUCGCUGUGUGUUAUAUGUGUCACACAGGACUGCUGGUAUUAAGCCGGAGGAAGGUGGGGACGACGUCAAGUCAGCAUGACCUUUAUAUCCAGGGCUACACACACGCUACAAUGGUCAGUACAAUGGGUUGCCAAGCCGCGAGGCGGAGCCAAUCCUAAAAAGCUGGCCUCAGUUCAGAUUGCAGUCUGAAACUCGACUGCAUGAAGUCGGAGUUGCUAGUAAACGCAGGUCAGCUAUACUGCGUUGAAUACGUUCCCGGGGCUU
rnacentral:rRNA from 1 species